UACGUAGGGGUGCAAGCGUUAAUCGGAAUUACUGGGCGUAAAGCGUGCGCAGGCGGUUGUGCAAGACAGAUGUGAAAUCCCCGGGCUCAACCCUGGGAAUUGCAUUUGUGACUGCACGGCUAGAGUGUGUCAGAGGGGGGUAGAAUUCCACGUGUAGCAGUGAAAUGCGUAGAGAGUGUGGAGGAAUACCGAUGGCGAAGGCAGCCCCCUGGGAGUAACACUGACGGCCUGCAUGACACCGAAAGCG
rnacentral:rRNA from 1 species